rnacentral:rRNA from 1 species
UACGGAGGGGGCUAGCGUUGUUCGGAAUUACUGGGCGUAAAGCGCGCGUAGGCGGCAUCGCAAGUUAGAGGUGAAAGCCCGGAGCUUAACUCCGGAAUUGCCUUUAAAACUGCAAUGCUAGAAUCAUGGAGAGGUGAGUGGAAUUCCGAGUGUAGAGGUGAAAUUCGUAGAUAUUCGGAAGAACACCAGUGGCGAAGGCGACUCACUGGACAUGUAUUGACGCUGAGGUGCGAAAGCGUGGGGAGCAAACAGG